rnacentral:rRNA from 1 species
UACGUAGGGUGCAAGCGUUGUCCGGAAUUAUUGGGGCGUAAAGAGCUCGUAGGCGGUUUGUCGCGUCGGCUGUGAAAACUCGGGGCUCAACCCCGAGCCUGCAGUCGAUACGGGCAGACUAGAGUGCGGUAGGGGAGGACUGGAAUUCCUGGUGUAGCGGUGAAAUGCGCAGAUAUCAGGAGGAACACCGGUGGCGAAGGCGGGUCUCUGGGCCGUAACUGACGCUGAGGAGCGAAAGCGUGGGGAGCAAACAGG